GAGCUAAGAAAAGCUGGGAAGACCUCUGGCUACCUUUCUGAUUAAGGAGCCGCUAACAGACAAGGUGCAGGAACUAUCUGCACGCCACACCGCUGUGCUGGGUAUUGAUAAUUCAUUUAAUGACAUCCAAGCAGAAUGAAUAUCCCACAUGAAAGGACAAAGUCAGCUCCCGGGAAAUAAUUAAGGAGACAGCAAAGUGACAUUUACACCAGCGGACAAGAUUCAUUAGAGUUUCUGCAGCAACGCUAAUACAAGACCCUUCCUUGAGGACGAGCAGAGGUGGUGGCUGUAUAAUAGUUAUUAUUACAUUAUUAUCGCGGCUCAUCUCUGCCUUGUGAAGAGAUUCCCUGUGUCUGAUGAAAGCAUACAGGUCUCCUCUCGUGUCUCAGGAGACGCAACAGGAGUCCAACAUGAGAGGCUGUCAUCUUAAUCAGCUCCCCCUGACCGAACUGCUUAUUUGGGGAGAAAUUUCGUGGCAUGGAGCCGUAGCAGUCAAUGAAAGAUAAAAUGCAUUAAAUUCCUGCUCUGUUACGGAUUACUGAUCGUGUGCUCGUGUUCUUACCCUUGAUCUGUUCAUCUUAUUGAACGACAUCUGUGAAAAUCUGAUUUUUUCCAUAAA